rnacentral:rRNA from 1 species
UACGGGGGGGGCAAGCGUUGUUCGGAAUUACUGGGCGUAAAGGGCUCGUAGGCGGCUCGGUAAGUCAGGUGUGAAACCUCCAGGCUCAACCUGGAGACGCCACCUGAUACUGCUGUGGCUAGAGUCCGGUAGGGGAGCGUGGAAUUCCUGGUGUAGCGGUGAAAUACGCAGAUAUCAGGAGGAACACCAGCGGCGAAGGCGGCGCUCUGGGCCGGAACUGACGCUGAGGAGCGAAAGCGUGGGUAGCAAACAGG